rnacentral:lncRNA from 1 species
GCGACCUGGUAAAUCCUAAGUGAGUCAUGCUUCAUUUGAAUACCAAACCAGAGGGACUCUCAAGCCUGCAGCAGAAAGAAAUAGAAUUGUACAGUUGGGAGUUGCUUUGGUGUGACAGAGUUACAGGCUCCCUUCCACCUCCAGGCUCAGCCCGGACGCCCUGUGCGUGCUGCUCCAGAAACUGGUUCACUGCAUUCCACUCACUCCAGCUGAAAAUGUUCAUUCACUCCCAAAAUAUUUUUUGAACAUGGUAAGAAACAAAGUCUUUACUAUCAAAAAUAUGGACAAGAGAGUGUCGCCAAGGAGUCCAACCUAGGCUGCCCUCCCUCACCCCUUACACCAGAGUUUCAAGAAAUGUCCACUCAGUUUAGAUUCCAGGAGCGGGACUGAACACUAAAGAUCAACAGCCCAGGACUCUCAGCUCUCUCUACUCCACUCUCCCCUCCCUUAGCAAGCCUGCCCCCAACCCUUCAGGCCUUCCCCUUGAGCCACUUAAACUAGCCAAUCAGGACAGAUUGUGAACCUUCAAACCAGCCAAUGGGGAGAAGGUCAGCUGCUUAUCACAAAUUAGAAAAUAAAACGAGCGUGUUGCUUUGUCUGUGUGCACUUGCUACCUCAUGCUAAAAUGUGCUCGUGCCUUUGUGUAGAAAUAAAACAAUCUUGCCU